UACGUAGGGGGCAAGCGUUGUCCGGAAUCAUUGGGCGUAAAGAGCGUGUAGGCGGUCCGGUAAGUCGGCUGUGAAAGUCCAGGGCUCAACCCUGGGAUGCCGGUCGAUACUGCCGGACUAGAGUUCGGAAGAGGCGAGUGGAAUUCCCGGUGUAGCGGUGAAAUGCGCAGAUAUCGGGAGGAACACCUAUGGCGAAGGCAGCUCGCUGGGACGUUACUGACGCUGAGAAGCGAAAGCAUGGGGAGCGAACAGG
rnacentral:rRNA from 1 species